AGGCACGCUAUCCUAAGGGCCCGGGCUUGUCUGUAGUUCUGGGUUCUCCAAGUGCGUGCGAGAACACGGGGCCAGUCUUUGACUGCGGCGGCCUCAUGCCACCAGCAGCCACUCAGCUGUCCUACAGUU
ensembl:snoRNA